rnacentral:rRNA from 1 species
GAUGAACGCUAGCUACAGGCUUAACACAUGCAAGUCGAGGGACCGGCGCACGGGUGAGUAACACGUAUCCAACCUGCCCUUUACUCGGGGAUAGCCUUUCGAAAGACAGAUUAAUACCCGAUAUAAAGGAUGGGGAUGCGUUCCAUUAGGUUGUUGGUGAGGUAACGGCUCACCAAGACUUCGAUGGAUAGGGGUUCUGGGAGGAAGGUCCCCCACAUUGGAACUGAGACAAGGUCCAAACUCCUACGGGAGGCAGCAGUGAGGAAUAUUGGUCAAUGGGCGCGAGCCUGAAACAGCGAAGUAGUGUGAAGGAUGAAUGCUUAUGGGUCGUAAUUGUCUUUUAUAUAAGAAUAUGUAUUAUAUGAAUAAGGAUCGGCUAACUCCGUGCCAGCAGCCGCGGUAAUAC